rnacentral:lncRNA from 1 species
UUUCUCACAACGACUCAAACACAUAUACAUGGAGGCACACACGCACGCACGCAGCACAACCCCGGAAGACCUCUCACGUCGACCGGACACACAUCACGGCUCCGACGGAGACUACAUCUUCUAGGCCCCUCAAACUUGGCUCGGCACACUCCGUUGCUCGGCAACACACCGGAGCACGGCUACACACACCGACACACCUGAAGACUACAUCUCUCCUCUGGCUACCCUCAUGGCCGCAACUCCAUCUGCUAGCACUGCUAGCUGCUUAUAUACACGGGCGCACACACCAGAGCCACCACGCACGCCCACUACCAC